CUCAGCAGCAGCAGCAGCAGCAAUUGCAGCAACAUGAGGAUCAACUUAGGCGGCAAUUUGGAGGUCAGAUGAUUCAUGAUUUUGUGGGUUGAUUUAUGUUAUGAAUCUUUCUUUGGAUGGAAGUGAAUAAUUAAGGAGAGGGAGAAGGAAAUGCUCCUUUUCACCAAUGUUAUCUUUGCAUUGGCUAGGAAAAAUGCAUUUGCAAUACUUGGAUUAUCUUUGUCUUGAAGCUUUGAUUUGUUAUUGUAUAUAUGCUUCCUAUCGGUAGCAGAUCUUUUUUUCCAUGAAACAAAGGGCCUGAACUGCCUAUAAACACCAUAAGCAACCCCACCAAGAAGACAAGGAAAGGAUGAUUCAGGCUAGGGGGAGCUUGAAAUGGUUUUUAAUAAUGUGGGGAAGGUAUUGUUAUUAGGUUUUGUGCAAAAUUAGGUGACAUAUAGCCGUUCUAAUUAAAAUACCAAAACCAGUGUAAACGUUUUCAGUUUGAUGUUAUAAUCCAAAAUUCAUUUCUGAUUUGAUGCCAAA
rnacentral:misc_RNA from 1 species